rnacentral:lncRNA from 1 species
GAGGGAGAGCGGACUCAGGAUUGGUGAGAACUGGACGUCUUGAAAGUGGCGAAUGGCUUGGCUGGCAGAUUGCGGCCUAGAAGAGGCAAGACUGGGAACCUGGGACAAAGCGGCACCAGCUGCAGGGACCACGAGGACCCAGGUCACUGCCAGAUAAGGGACCACGUGUGGACCCAGAGCUCCCUGUGGCCUCGUUCGCUGCUCCGUGUCUAGUGCAGAUGCUGUGGGGCCUGCUGGCCUCCGAGGGCUCUGACCUGAGCGGAGCUGGUGCAGGCAGAAGGGAAGCUGACGGGACCAGUGCUGGCUCUGUCAACAGCUUCACCUCCGACUCCAGUCACAGUCCCCAGGUCGUCCUCUGCUUUCACAGGCGCCCGUGCUCCCAGCUCCUUGCGGGGUGUGAGGCCGAGCAAAGGCCCCGGCUCUGCCACUGCAGAUUCCACAGCUGCUCCUGGUGAGUGUCACACGCGCAGAAGUGGCCCUGUGUAAAAACACCCACUCUCAGAUCAUAAGUUGUGUCUCUGCGAGUCAGGUGACAGUUUAGGAGCAGAGAGAGUGAUGUUGCCG